GACGAACGCUGGCGGCGUGCUUAACACAUGCAAGUCGAACGGAAAGGCCCUGCUUUUGUGGGGUGCUCGAGUGGCGAACGGGUGAGUAACACGUGAGUAACCUGCCCUUGACUUUGGGAUAACUUCAGGAAACUGGGGCUAAUACCGGAUAGGAGCUCCUGCUGCAUGGUGGGGGUUGGAAAGUUUCGGCGGUUGGGGAUGGACUCGCGGCUUAUCAGCUUGUUGGUGGGGUAGUGGCUUACCAAGGCUUUGACGGGUAGCCGGCCUGAGAGGGUGACCGGCCACGUGGGGACUGAAAUACGGCCCAGACGCGUACGGGGGGCAAGAGAGGGGAAUAUUAAACAAAGGGCGGAAGCCUGAGGCAGCAACGCCGCGUGGGGGAAGACGCCCUUCGGGUUGGAAACCGCUUUCGCCUGUAAAGAGGGGUGAGUGAGGGUAAUGGGUAAAGAAGCACCGCUCAACUACGG
rnacentral:rRNA from 1 species